CCGAUGAGGUGGAAACGGACAGAGCUGGCGUAUCUGGCUUGCAUUCAGCCGCUGCGCGUCGGGCCCCGGUUUGCCGCACUCCAGAUUGGGAAGGUGGCUGGGCUGCUGGCGUGCUGGUGGUGCAUUUGCAGGUGGAGUGCGCCGAGGCGCCCGGUUCAGCGGCAUGAGCUCGGCUUUGAGGCCAGUCGCGCAAGCGGUCUGGUACCCGGGUCGGGGGAGUGUUGUUUGGGCUGGGUGUUAGCUUGGGCACAGGUUUCGGGCCCGUGUAGGUGCCGAGCUGGCGGUCGGCGGCGGUCGCGUGCGACACGUGCCAGCAGUCAGUUCGGUCCUGCUCGAGCUCUCUCGUGUCCGGCCUCGGUGUAAAAGCCGGUCAUCUGUCCGACCCGUCUUGAAACACGGACCAAGGAGUUUAGCGUGUGCGCGAGUCAUUGGGUGUUGAAAACCCAGAGGCGUAAUGAAAGUGAAGGUCUGCCUUGUGCAGCUGAUGUGUGAUCCUGGGCGCCGCGGCGUCCGGGCGCAACAUAGUCCCGUCCCGACUGCAUGCAGUGGGGCGGAGACAGAGCGUACGCGCUGAG
rnacentral:rRNA from 1 species